rnacentral:rRNA from 1 species
CCUACGGGUGGCUGCAGUGAGGAAUAUUGGUCAAUGGGCGCGAGCCUGAACCAGCCAAGUCGCGUGAGGGAUGAAGGUUCUAUGGAUCGUAAACCUCUUUUAUAAGGGAAUAAAGUGUGGGACGUGUCCUAUUUUGUAUGUACCUCAUGAAUAAGGAUCGGCUAACUCCGUGCCAGCAGCCGCGGUAAUACGGAGGAUCCGAGCGUUAUCCGGAUUUAUUGGGGUUAAAGGGUGCGUAGGCGGCUUUUUAAGUCAGCGGGGAAAGUUUGUGGCUCAACCAUCGAAUUGCCGUUGAAACUGGGGGGCUUGAGUAUGUGUGAGGCAGGCGGAAUGCGUGGUGUAGCGGUGAAAUGCAUAGAUAUCACGCAGAACCCCGAUUGCGAAGGCAGCCUGCCAAGCCAUGACUGACGCUGAUGCACGAAAGUGUGGGGAUCGAACAGGAUUAGAUACCCUUGUAGUC